rnacentral:rRNA from 1 species
UGAUCCAGCCAUGCCGCGUGCAGGAUGAAGGCCCUCUGGGGCGUAAACUGUUUUUAUAUGGGAAUAAAAAGAUGGUCGCCAUUAUUGAAGGUACCAUAUGAAUAAGCACCGGCUAACUACGUGCCAGCAGCCGCGGUAAUACGUAGGGUGCAACGGUUGUCCGGAAUCAUUGGGUGUAAAGGGUGCGUAGGCGGAUUGGUAAGUCAGAGGUGAAAGCCACGUAGCUUAACUACUGAACUGCCUUUGAUACUGCCAGUCUUGAGUCCUGGAGAGGUUACUGGAAUUCUUGGUGUAGCAGUGAAAUGCGUAGAUAUCACGAGGAAUACCCGAAGCGUAGGCGAGUAACUGGACAGGUACUGACGCUCAGGCACGAAAGCGUGGGGAGCAAACAGGAUUAGAUACCCUGGUAGUCCACGCUGUAAACGAUGAACACUCGACGUUGGCCCUGUAUGGGGUCAGUGUCUAAGCUAACGCGUUAAGUGUUCCACCUGGGGA